GAACUAUCUCUGAAAUGUUUUCAGAGCUUCUCUGGUGUUACAUGCAUAGUAAAUAUUUUCUUUAAAUUAGAUGAAAAAUAUCCAGAAUUCACCCUGCUGUUUCUCCAUGAGUCUGACCUGCAUCAACUGCCUCCCUUAUUCUGGGAUUCCAGUUGUGGAGCUCAAGGACAAGUCCAUUCUGGGCUGGCUGUAUCCAACUUCUUUAGUCCAACUAUAUCCCCACUGGAAGCCAGGCUCUUUCCAACAGCUGUCACCCAUGCCUCUUUCUAUGUUUGUUAUCUGUCUCUAGGUUCUGGUAACUACUUCCUUCCCUUGCCCCUUCUGGCCUAGGGUGCUACCAAUCCCUCCUCCAAAUCCAACUGUCACUAGCCUCAAAGUACUUGUAGCUUCCUCACCUUACUUUCACCUUAAUAAAUG
rnacentral:lncRNA from 10 species